rnacentral:snRNA from 1 species
AGCUUUGCGCAGUGGCAAUAUCAUAGCCAGUGAGGUUUAUCCGAGGCAUGAUUAUUGCUAAUUGAAAACUUUUCCCAAUACCUUACCAUGACUUCAAAUAUAGUUGGCAUUGGCAACUUUUGACAGUCUCUACGGAGA